rnacentral:rRNA from 1 species
GAUGAACGCUAGCGGCAGGCUUAAUACAUGCAAGUCGUGGGGCAGCAGGGUUGUAGCAAUACAAUCGCUGGCGACCGGCAAACGGGUGCGUAACACGUACGCAACCUUCCCGUUACUGUGGCACAGCCCAGGGAAACUUGGAUUAAUACCACAUAUUAUAUUUAGGGGGCAUCCCUUUGAUAUCAAAGCUUCGGCGGUAACGGAUGGGCGUGCGGUUGAUUAGGUAGUUGGCGGGGUAACGGCCCACCAAGCCUACGAUCAAUAGCUGAUGUGAGAGCAUGAUCAGCCACACGGGCACUGAGACACGGGCCCGACUCCUACGGGAGGCAGCAGUAAGGAAUAUUGGGCAAUGGACGAAAGUCUGACCCAGCCAUGCCGCGUGAAGGAUUAAGGUCCUCUGGAUUGUAAACUUCUUUUCUCUGGGGCGAAAACCAGCUAUUCUUAGCUAUUUGACAGUACCAGAGGAAUAAGCACCGGCUAACUCCGUGCCAGCAGCCGCAGUAACAC